GAAGGUUAUGUUCGGCCCCCGAAGGUUGCAUAGUUUUGCAUGCGAUUCGGCAGCCGAACCUGAGGCGGUUGUUCAUCUAUAAGGGCACCGAGUGGCAGAAAAAGGAGGAGGUUUCUUCUCUCCUUCUGACCUAGGUGAGGUCUUGAUCUCCUUAAAGUAUUUUCAUGGUUUUUCUUCAAAUCUUUCACGGUUGUAAUGAGUUUUACCCUUGUUUUGAAGAGUUGUGAGCUUUAAACAAGGUUUUGGAGUUUGAAGCUUUUGAAGCUUGGUUUCUCCAUAUCUUUGAGUUUGGAUCAUCUCAGCCUUUGUUCUUCAAGAGGUAAGUGUUGAUCCAUGGUUCUUAUGAUGUUUUUAUGAGUUUUGUAAAGGGAAAAGGGAGCUAGGCAUGAGUUUGCAUGAGAUGUGCAUCAUAGGGUUUAUAAAUCCUUUAUGUUUGCUGUGUGUCUUGUGAGCUUGUUUGUUGGAGUUUAAAGUUAUGUGAAGCUCCCUUAGGCUUGUUGAAGUGUUUAUGCAUGUUUUAGAAGGGUUAAAUGCAUGUGUUGAGGUCUGAACAGGUGAUGGAGGGACUGACAGGCGUCCUUGUGCACGAAACUGAGUUCUGGCUAACUUGUGCACGAAACUGAGUUCUGGCUAAACUCAGGUUCGGCCCCCGAAAGUCCAAGUUAGGCCGCCGAACAUGCCUGACUUUCGUCUCUGGAGGAGACAUUCGGCCGCCGAAAGUGCUGCCGAAGGUGCCCUGUCCAGCCUUCCUUUGCUUGUUUUGCAUGCAUGUUUUGUGAUGUUUUAGAGGGUUUUUGGAGAGAUGUUCAUAGUUAUGUUAGAGUAUGUUUGGUACCUCAUUUGAGUCCUCCACUGUAGGAUUGGACCCGAGGAACCAAGGUGUUUAGCAGUAGUAGCUGUUUCAGAGGUAGAGGUAGCCCAGAGGUAGCCAAGUAGAGGCUAUAGGUGAGUGGAACUAACUGUACUAUUUACAUUCAGAAAUGACACGAAUCUAGCAUGAUCCAUGCAUCAUAAAAUGCCAUGUUAUGUAUUAGGUUGUAUUGCAUUAGAUUCCACGAAUAUGCUGCAUUGCAUAAGCUGAUAUUUGUGUGGAUGAAUGUUGGAUGAUCCUUAGCCCUUGAUAGAGCACAGAUACAGAGUUGUGGCAUGAGAUAGCCAUACCAGGUCGCCCCUGGUUAGUCCAGGUCGCUCCUGGUACUAUGAGUGAGACAGCUGGGCUGUCAGAUCAGAGCUCAGAGCAGUCCAAUCUAGCAUGAUCCAUGCAUCAUAAAAUGCCAUGUUAUGUAUUAGGUUGUAUUGCAUUAGAUUCCACGAAUAUGCUGCAUUGCAUAAGCUGAUAUUUGUGUGGAUGAAUGUUGGAUGAUCCUUAGCCCUUGAUAGAGCACAGAUACAGAGUUGUGGCAUGAGAUAGCCAUACCAGGUCGCCCCUAGUUAGUCCAGGUCGCUCCUGGUACUAUGAGUGAGACAGCUGGGCUGUCAGAUCAGAGCUCAGAGCAGUCCAGGUGAGGCCUAAUCGCCCCUGGCACAGUUGGA
rnacentral:lncRNA from 1 species